rnacentral:rRNA from 1 species
GAUGAACGCUGGCGGCGUGCCUAAUACAUGCAAGUCGAGCGAACGGACGAGAAGCUUGCUUCUCUGAUGUUAGCGGCGGACGGGUGAGUAACACGUGGAUAACCUACCUAUAAGACUGGGAUAACUUCGGGAAACCGGAGCUAAUACCGGAUAAUAUUUUUAACCGCAUGGUUCAAAAGUGAAAGACGGUCUUGCUGUCACUUAUAGAUGCAUCCGCGCUGCAUUAGCUAGUUGGUAAGGUAACGGCUUACCAAGGCAACGAUGCAUAGCCGACCUGAGAGGGUGAUCGGCCACACUGGAACUGAGACACGGUCCAGACGCCUACGGGAGGCAGCAGUAGGGAAUCUUCCGCAAUGGGCGAAAGCCUGACGGAGCAACGCAGCGUGAGUGAAGAAGGUCUUAGGAUCGUAAAACUCUGUUAUUAGGGAAGAACAUAUGUGUAAGUAACUGUGCACAUCUGGAAGGUACCUAAUCAGAAAGCCACGGCUAACUACGUG